rnacentral:rRNA from 1 species
UACAGAGGUCUCAAGCGUUGUUCGGAUUCAUUGGGCGUAAAGGGUGUGUAGGUGGCGCCGUAAGUCGGGUGUGAAAUUUCGGAGCUUAACUCCGAAACUGCAUUCGAUACUGCGGUGCUUGAGGACUGGAGAGGAGACUGGAAAUUCAUGGUGUAGCGGUGAAAUGCGCAGAUAUCAGGAGGAACACCGGUGGCGAAGGCGGGUCUCUGGGCCAUAACUGACGCUGGAGGAGCGAAAGCGUGGGGAGCGAACAGG